GGAGUGUCCGUGUUUCGGCAAGCUGUUUCUUUUCUUAUCUGCUAUCCUGCAAACUCAAGAAUUUCUGUUACUGGUUUCUUACUCUUCGGGGCACAGUCUUAGUUUCAGCUUUUCAGCAAGUUCUUUCUUUUCUUAUCUGCUAUUCUGUAAGUCCAAGAAUUUAGUCUUUGGUUUCUUUAACUCUUUGGAGCCUGGUUUACCAGGACAGUUGUCUAUUUGCUUUAUUAUGUUUGUUUGGUAAGGGGGGGCCGGGGACAAGGUGCAUCAGGAAGCCAGGCCAGCCUGUGACUAUCACACCCAGUCCAGAACAGGCCCUCUGAGGAGAGACAAUUCUCCUGAUUCUCCCUGAUCCAGGAGUAUUUCCUCACCACAGCGCUGAUUUACAACAGGGACAGAUUGGGGCCAGGCGUGUAAGCUUUCCCUGGAGAAAGAGCUUCCCAGUUGUACAUGGCUAGAGUGUUUGAAGGAGGUAUUCCAGCUCUGUGGAUACCCCUUCAAGUAAGGUUGCCAGGUAAAAUACAGGAUGCCCAGUUUAGUAUAAGUAUGUGCCAUGCAAUGUUAGGGGUACACUUCUAAAACAUCCUUUGCUGUUUAUCCGAAAUUCACAUUUGAGCACCCUGUUAUUUGCUAAACUCAGCAACUACCCCUGGGUGUUUGGGGCAGAGGCAGGGGCUGGGCUGCCUGGGAGGGGGCGA
rnacentral:lncRNA from 1 species